rnacentral:rRNA from 1 species
UGACGUUAGGAAAGCGAGCGGCGGAUGGGUGAGUAACACGUGGGGAACCUGCCCCAUAGUCUAGGAUACCACUUGGAAACAGGUGCUAAUACCGGAUAAGAAAGCAGAUCGCAUGAUCAGCUUUUAAAAGGCGGCGUAAGCUGUCGCUAUGGGAUGGCCCCGCGGUGCAUUAGCUAGUUGGUAAGGUAAAGGCUUACCAAGGCGAUGAUGCAUAGCCGAGUUGAGAGACUGAUCGGCCACAUUGGGACUGAGACACGGCCCAAACUCCUACGGGAGGCAGCAGUAGGGAAUCUUCCACAAUGGACGCAAGUCUGAUGGAGCAACGCCGCGUGAGUGAAGAAGGUUUUCGGAUCGUAAAGCUCUGUUGUUGGUGAAGAAGGAUAGAGGUAGUAACUGGCCUUUAUUUGACGGUAAUCAACCAGAAAGUCACGGCUAACUACGUGCCAGCAGCCGCGGUAAUACGUAGGUGGCAAGCGUUGUCCGGAUUUAUUGGGCGUAAAGCGAGCGCAGGCGGAAGAAUAAGUCUGAUGUGAAAGCCCUCGGCUUAACCGAGGAACUGCAUCGGAAACUGUUUUUCUUGAGUGCAGAAGAGGAGAGUGGAACUCCAUGUGUAGCGGUGGAAUGCGUAGAUAUAUGGAAGAACACCAGUGGCGAAGGCGGCUCUCUGGUCUGCAACUGACGCUGAGGCUCGAAAGCAUGGGUAGCGAACAGGAUUAGAUACCCUGGUAGUCCAUGCCGUAAACGAUGAGUGCUAAGUGUUGGGA